rnacentral:rRNA from 1 species
GAUGAACGCUAGCGGCAGGCCUAACACAUGCAAGUCGAGGGGUAGAAGGAGCUUGCUCCUUUGAGACCGGCGCACGGGUGCGUAACGCGUAUGCAAUCUACCUUGUACAGGGGAAUAGCCCAGAGAAAUUUGGAUUAAUGCCCCAUAGUAUAUAACCUUCGCAUGUUGGUUAUAUUAAAGUUCCAACGGUACAAGAUGAGCAUGCGCCCCAUUAGUUAGUUGGUAAGGUAACGGCUUACCAAGACGAUGAUGGGUAGGGGUCCUGAGAGGGAGAUCCCCCACACUGGUACUGAGACACGGACCAGACUCCUACGGGAGGCAGCAGUGAGGAAUAUUGGUCAAUGGUCGCAAGACUGAACCAGCCAUGCCGCGUGCAGGAAGACGGUCCUAUGGAUUGUAAACUGCUUUUAUACAGGAAGAAACCCUCCCACGUGUGGGAGCUUGACGGUACUGUAGGAAUAAGGAGCGGCUAACUCCGUG